UACGGGGGGGGCAAGCGUUGUUCGGAAUUACUGGGCGUAAAGGGCUCGUAGGCGGCCAACUAAGUCAUACGUGAAAUCCCUCGGCUUAACCGGGGAACUGCGUCUGAUACUGGAUGGCUUGAGAUUGGGAGAGGGAUGCGGAAUUCCAGGUGUAGCGGUGAAAUGCGUAGAUAUCUGGAGGAACACCGGUGGCGAAGGCGGCAUCCUGGACCAACACUGACGCUGAGGAGCGAAAGCGUGGGUAGCAAACAGG
rnacentral:rRNA from 1 species